UACGGGAGGCAGCAGUGGGGAAUAUUGCACAAUGGGCGCAAGCCUGAUGCAGCCAUGCCGCGUGUAUGAAGAAGGCCUUCGGGUUGUAAAGUACUUUCAGUCGUGAGGAAGGUGUUAAGGUUAAUAACCUUAGCAAUUGACGUUAGCGACAGAAGAAGCACCGGCUAACUCCGUGCCAGCAGCCGCGGUAAUACGGAGGGUGCGAGCGUUAAUCGGAAUUACUGGGCGUAAAGGGCACGCAGGCGGUUAAUUAAGUUGGAUGUGAAAUCCCCGGGCUUAACCUGGGAAUGGCAUUCAAGACUGGUUAGCUAGAGUCUUGUAGAGGGGGUAGAAUUCCAUGUGUAGCGGUGAAAUGCGUAGAGAUGUGGAGGAAUACCGGUGGCGAAGGCGGCCCCUGGGACAAAGGACUGACGCUCAUGUGCGAAAGCGUGGGGAGCGAAACAGGAUUAGAUA
rnacentral:rRNA from 1 species